ACUCAAAUGAAUUGACGGGGGCCCGCACAAGCAGCGGAGCAUGUGGUUUAAUUCGAAGCAACGCGAAGAACCUUACCAAGGCUUGACAUCAUGUUGAAUAACCUGGAAACAGAUUAGCCCUUCGGGGCAAUAUGACAGGUGGUGCAUGGUUGUCGUCAGCUCGUGUCGUGAGAUGUUGGGUUAAGUCCCGCAACGAGCGCAACCCUUGUAGUCAGUUACCAUCAUUAAGUUGGGGACUCUGACUAGACUGCCGUGGAUAACACGGAGGAAGGCGGGGAUGACGUCAAAUCAUCAUGCCCCUUAUGUCUUGGGCUACACACGUGCUACAAUGGCAGCAACAAAGAGAAACGAACCAGUAAUGGGGAGUGAAUCACAAAAAAGCUGUCUCAGUUCGGAUUGUGGGCUGCAACCCGCCCACAUGAAGAUGGAGUUGCUAGUAAUCGCGAAUCAGCAUGUCGCGGUGAAUGCGUUCCCGGGCCUUGCACACACCGCCCGU
rnacentral:rRNA from 1 species